CAGAAUGCCAAGUUAUUUUUCUCUUCAUAAGCGUUCUAUCCUGCUUAGUUUUCUUUCGACUUCUUUGGUAGCUUUAGCUUCCAACUCUCUCAUGUAUGUAAAGUGCUCGGAGUCCGGCCCGGCGUAGCUGCGGCCCGGGCCCGGCGCUGGCGCGGCGGCUCUAGGCGGCCUGGGCCCGGCACUGCGGAGCGGGAGGGCCCGGCAGCUGCUGCUGCAGCACCGCCGCCAUUUCCUGCCUCCUAACCCGGCCGGGUCCGG
rnacentral:lncRNA from 1 species